rnacentral:rRNA from 1 species
AGACGUCUACAUUAGAUACCCGGGUAGUCCCAGCCGUAAACUAUGCGCGUUAGGUGUAUCGGUGACCACGUGUUACCGAGGUGCCGAAGGGAAACCGUGAAACGUGCCGCCUGGGAAGUACGGUCGCAAGGCUGAAACUUAAAGGAAUUGGCGGGGGAGCACCACAACAGGUGGAGCCUGCGGUUUAAUUGGACUCAACGCCGGGAAGCUCACCGGAUAGGACAGCAGAAUGAUUGCCGGGCUGAAGACCCUGCAUGACUAGCUG